rnacentral:rRNA from 1 species
AUCCCUAGUUCGGAUUGUAGGCUGCAACUCGCCUACAUGAAGCUGGAAUUGCUAGUAAUCACAGGUCAGCAUACUGUGGUGAAUACGUUCCCGGGCCUUGUACACACCGCCCGUCACACCAUGAGAGUUGAGAAUACCCGAAGUCCGUAGUCUAACCGCAAGGGGGACGCGGCCGAAGGUGGGUUCGAUAAUUGGGGUGAAGUCGUAACAAGGUAUC